CGUGAGAUGUUGGGUUAAGUCCCGCAACGAGCGCAACCCUCGCCCUGUGUUGCCAGCACGUCGUGGUGGGAACUCACGGGGGACCGCCGGGGUCAACUCGGAGGAAGGUGGGGAUGACGUCAGAUCAUCAUGCCCCUUACGUCCAGGGCUUCACGCAUGCUACAAUGGCCGGUACAACGGGAUGCGACACCGCGAGGUGGAGCGGAUCCCUUAAAACCGGUCUCAGUUCGGAUUGGAGUCUGCAACCCGACUCCA
rnacentral:rRNA from 1 species